rnacentral:tRNA from 1 species
UAGAGCGAUGAUCUGUCCUCAUUCGACAGGCGUCCGCACAAGUCUCCUGCAUUCCAUAACCUGAUCCCGCCUGGGUCUGUAGCUCAGGUGGUUAGAGCGCACCCCUGAUAAGGGUGAGGCCGGAGGUUCGAGUCCUCCCAGACCCACCACGGGAUCUUGGGACGAGCGUUACCUUGGAUUGGGGCCAUAGCUCAGCUGGGAGAGCACCUGCUUUGCAAGCAGGGGGUCGUCGGUUCGAUCCCGACUGGCUCCACCAGCCGAGAGCUUGGGCGCGGAUCCGUCCGCGGAAAGCCAAACCGCACAUCCAUGUGCGGACUUUCGAAUAUGGAAUAACUGGCCACACACUUUAUGGACACGGACCUUGGGGUCCGUGGGGGGUCCUUGAAAAUUCCGGACGUAAUGAACGGUUGAAAACUUAAUCUCACACCUGGCCAUAGAAGCUAAAGGGAAAUAAUUGAAUGGGGAACCUGGAACCCGGCUGGCUUGGUAAUCACCAAGGUGCUUGAAGGUAUAUGGGCCAGCCAAUAAACGCACACCGUGGAUGGCUUGGCGGGCAGAAGCCAAGAAAGACGUGGCAACCUGCCAAAAGCUUCCGGGAAUUGGCAACCAACGUUUAUC